rnacentral:tRNA from 1 species
GCCUGGCAGGCUUAGUUGGCCGAACAUGAGACUCUUGAUCUCAGGGCUGUGAGUUCGACCCCCACGUUGGGCG